ensembl:ncRNA F08F3.16 ncRNA
AAAAAGAAGCGAGAGAAAAAAGAUAAAUUCAAACACAAACCAAAUUUGAAUAGAGGGAGAGAGAGAGAGAAGUCGAUGCGUUUAUGGGGCAUCUUCUUCUUCCACCUAGUCCUUCAUUUUCCGGAGGGACCAACUCUUUCGCCUUUCAA